AUUGAACGCUGGCGGCGUGCUUAACACAUGCAAGUCGAUCGGUAACAGGUGUAGCAAUACAUGCUGACGAGAGGCGGACGGGUGAGUAAUGCUUGGGAAUCUGCCUAUUAGUGGGGGACAACCCGGGGAAACUCGGGCUAAUACCGCAUACGCUCUACGGAGGAAAGCCGGGGACCGCAAGGCCUGGCGCUAAUAGAUGAGCCCAAGUCGGAUUAGCUAGUUGGUAGGGAACGGCCUACCAAGGCGACAAUCCGUAGCUGGUCUGAGAGGACGACCAGCCACACCGGAACUGAGACACGGUCCGGACUCCUACGGGAGGCAGCAGUGGGGAAUAUUGGACAAUGGGGGCAACCCUGAUCCAGCGACGCCGCGUGGGUGAAGAAGGCCU
rnacentral:rRNA from 1 species